UCUUGUUAUAAUUGCUUGUAUCAUUAAUUACAGAUGAAUACUAAUAUCUAUUUUAGACGGAAUACUGCCAAUAACCACAGGGUGGCAACAAAGUCCAUCUUGCAGAACAUGUACUGAUCCUGACAGACUGGCUGGAGACAAAGCUUGGCAGAGGUGAAAGUUCAGAGGUCACAGAAAAGGAGCAGGAGGGGACACUAAGGACUCUCUGCGUCACUAACAGUCUCAGGGAUGCAGGAGAGAAGACUCACAAAGUACACAUCAGCAUUAAGGCGUCUCGUGGCCCGCUGAGUGAAGAUGGCCUGUCCAAGAUGGAGGAGGCCCAGGAGCUGCAGUGCACGGGGGCCCUGCUGAUGCUGCUACACGCCCUGCCUGCCCCCAGCCCAGGGAGCGAGGACCAGGACGUGCCCCUGCUUUCCGCUCUGCUCUAGCUCAAACAGCUCCAGCAGGCAAAUAUCUGGGACUGCCCGUUGCCCCUCGCCAUAUUGGUGCCCGGCUCACACGACACACAGAAACUGGAGGAAGAGCUGAAGGUCUGAUAUCAGCACGCACGUUCUUCCACAUCCCAGAGACCACCAGGGACCUACAGAUCUCGGAGCAGGUGAGCGGGGAGAUGUGCUGACUCUUGGCGCGUGCCCCAGCGCCCUCCGUCCUCAUCUCUCAGACCCUGGUGCACUUCGUGGAUGCCUGCCUGUGCCACGACUUCAGCGUCCGUCUCUACCACCACCGGCAGGACAGAGCAGGGGCAGGGCUUGCGUGCCAACACCUGGUGUGCGCCAACACCAUCACACUCUACAACACCGUGCUGGCCUUCCUGGCCGACCUAGUGUCCUCCCAGCAGCUCUCCAGCCUCUCCUGGCCCCCAGGGGAGUUUGCCCUGCCAGAGACCCCGGACGUGGUGCCUCACCUGGCCUGGAUAUUACCAUGAAAUGCUUACUUACAGCCCUUAACCAACAAUACAUGUAUUUCUUAAUA